GACGAACGCUGGCGGCGUGCCUAAUACAUGCAAGUCGAACGCAGUUGGGACGGGUGAGUAACCCGUGGGUAACCUCCCAUCAGAGGGGAUAACACUUGGAAACACGUGCUAAACCGAUACUGAUGGAUGGACCCGCGGUGCAUUAGCUAGUUGGUGGGGUAACGGCUCACCAAGGCCACGAUGCAUAGCUGACCUGAGAGGGUGAUCGGCCACACUGGGACUGAGACACGGUCCAGACUCCUACGGGAGGCAGCAGUAGGGAAUAGUCGGCAAUGGGCGAAAGUCUGACAGAGCAACGCCGCGUGAGUGAAGAAGGUUUUCGGAUCGUAAAACUCUGUUGUUGGAGAAGCGGUAUCUACACAGAAAGCAACGGCUAACUACGUGCCAGCAGCCGCGGUAAUAC
rnacentral:rRNA from 1 species